UGCUCUUAAAGGAACCCUCCCUUCAUGUUUGGCUAACUUGUCAUCACUUCAUUAUUUGGAUAUUUCCGGUAAUCAAUUCGUUGGGAAAGGUGCCUCCACUGCCUUAGCCAAUCUCACUUUGCUUAGAUUCAUUUCUCUUUCACGAAACCUAUUCGAAGUUCCUUCCAUUUUCAUAUCAUUUGCCAACCAUUCACACCUCAAAGUACUCUCCAGCAAUCAAAACAAGUUAGUCGAAGAGCCUACCAUUCCAACAUGGGUCCCAAAGUUCCAACUAAAAGCCUUCCGUUUGUCAAAUUGCACAACAAAGGAACUCCACACUGAAAUUCCGAAAUUCCUCUAUUACCAAAAUAACCUGGGUAUUAUUGAUCUUUCAUAUAAUAAUUUUGGAGGG
rnacentral:lncRNA from 1 species